GUGCUCCCCCGCCAAUUCCUUUAAGUUUCAGCCUUGCGGCCGUACUUCCCAGGUGGCUCGCUUCACGGCUUCCCUACGGCACCGACCACGGUCGCACCGUGGCCGACACCUAGCGAGUAUCGUUUACGGCUAGGACUACCCGGGUAUCUAAUCCGGUUCGUGCCCCUAGCUUUCGUCCCUUGCCGUCAGAUCCGUUCUGGUGAGACGCCUUCGCCACUGGUGGUCCCUCAAGGAUUACAAGAUUUCACCCCUACCCCUGAGGUACCUCUCACCUCUCCCGGUCUCGAGCCGAUCAGUAUCUCCUGAAAGCCUGACAGUUAAGCUGCCAGAUUUCCCAAGAGACUUAGUCAGCCGGCUACAGACCCUUUAGACCCAAUAAUAGCGGUUACCACUCGAGCCGCCGGUGUUACCGCGGCGGCUGGCACCGGUCUUGCCCGGCCCUUGCUAUGCAAUGCUUUUUAGGCAUUACGACAGCCAGGAUUGUAUCCUGGCACUCGAGGUCCCCUUAUCGCUGUUUCCAGCAUUGUAAAGUUUUCGCGCCUGCUGCACCCCGU
rnacentral:rRNA from 1 species